rnacentral:sRNA from 1 species
GCGCAACAAAAAAACGAUAAUUAUUGUUGGCAAACUUAUCUCCAAACCGACAAGCGUUAGUGCUGCAUGCCGACCACCAAAAUUCUUUUCAAGAACGAGGAAGAAAAGAAAAAUUCAGAUAUUGCUACAGGGUUAUUAUUAGCUACGUUUACCACUUUUAUAAACAGCCAUGGAAGGACAGAUCAUACCGCUGGAGGGUGAAGGAUGAUGCAAGCUACAGAUAGAGUGUGAAACCGAGGGAGAAGUUAAACAAGAAUUUCAAACAAAGUUUAGGGCAUCUCCACCUAAAACAUUAAAAGAGUGUUAUUCCUUGCAUCCAUUCACAUGGCUUCAGACAGGAGGAAUAACUUAGCCCAUAAAAAAGAAAAAGAAACGUACAGAAGGACGGACCAUCUUAUGCAGUGGAGUUGGGUUGGGGAAUAAUCUCUUUAUAAGUCAGAAUUAGAGUCCAUCUUCCUUAUCUGAUUUCAGAUUAGCACAUCCCAAUUCACGUUAUCUUUCACAUCUAAAUUCUAAUUGCUCUAUCUCCACCGAUCUUCUUAUUUUCUUUUGUUUAAUUUCUAUUGUGAGGUACUGUUAGGUGCUUCCACCAUCCAUUGAUCGUCCUUUUUAUGCUGAACACGAACAAAUUAAAAAAGAAGACGGAGAUUGAAUUCAUUAUUGAGCUACGUUGAUUAAGAUCGGAAAUAUAUUGAGUUUUGUUCAUCAGAAAAAACAAAUAUAGAGCUUAACAGUGACCUUGAUAUCAUUUAACGAUCUCAAAAUAAGACGUAAGUAAAUCCUAUCUACCAUGUUAUUUGGUAUCUAAAGAGCAUAUCAUCUCCUUUAGCUACUGACACAGAUGAAAAGGAACAGUAACCAUUCAAAUUUUCACAAAAGGACCUUCAUCCUAAAUAUAAAGACACAUUAACUUUUGUCUUCAUUAUAUUUGUUGUUUCUGCUCUUGGACAGCACCAGAGUGACUUCUUGAAGAUUGUCCAAACUUCUUAAACUGUGUAAUGCUGUUGGAUUGUGUCAAUGUCAAGCCCUUUCAGCUUCACCACUGACUCAACAUGUCCUUUCAGAGUAUGAAGCUCCCUGAGUCUGUAAACCAAUAUAAGAAAUCUCUGUAAGACAUUAUCACUAUUUUAUAACUACCUUUUCAUGAAGGACAACUUACAUAUAGCUCCUUAGGUGCUUUUAUUGAUGUUUUCCAAUUAGAAUUAGAGUUUCAUCUAAGUGUAAUUCCUGUAAUAAAGGUUUAAUGCAAAUUACCAAGAUGAAACUCUAAUUAUGAUUGGAGAACAAAAUAAAUAAAUAAAAAGGUACUUUAGGAAUUGCAUUUUGUCUCUUCUUCAAUCAUUUCACACUCAAAUUUAUGCCACACAAUGGCACUGUAGAAGUGGAUUCAGUGGCUUACCUAGCAACCUCAGCACGUCUCUUAGCUUGUUCAGCAAUCUCUGAAAGCUCUCUGUAACUGUUCUUGUCAUUGAAAAGGUUGGUUGUUUCAGGUGGCUGAAGACCGUGAAGAGUUCUCUGUGCAGUUGCCCAUUGUGCUUCUCUCUCUUCUUUUCCAUAGUCUUUCUUUGUAGUGAAGGCAGU